rnacentral:rRNA from 1 species
UACAGAGGGUGCGAGCGUUAAUCGGAAUUACUGGGCGUAAAGCGUGCGCAGGCGGUUCGUUGUGUCUGAUGUGAAAGCCCCGGGCUCAACCUGGGAAUGGCAUUGGAAACUGGCGAGCUAGAGUGUGGCAGAGGGGGGUGGAAUUCCGCGUGUAGCAGUGAAAUGCGUAGAGAUGCGGAGGAACACCGAUGGCGAAGGCAGCCCCCUGGGCCAACACUGACGCUCAGGCACGAAAGCGUGGGGAGCAAACAGG